rnacentral:rRNA from 1 species
CAACCUGCCCUUCGGAUGGGGAUACAGCCGAACGGCUGCUAAUACCGAAUACGAUCUUUUCGUCGCAUGACGGAAAGAAGAAAAAGGGUGGCCUCUAUACAAAGCUAUCGCCGAAGGAGGGGUUUUGCGUCUGAUUAGCUGGUUGGAGGGGUAACGGCCCAACAAGGCGAUGAUCAGUAGCCGGUCUGAGAGGAUGAACGGCCACAUUGGGACUGAGACACGGCCCAGACUCCUACGGGAGGCAGCAGUGGGGAAUCUUCCGCAAUGGACGAAAGUCUGACGGAGCAACGCCGCGUGAGUGAAGAAGGUCUUCGGAUUGUAAAGCUCUGUUAUACGGGACGAAAAAGACGGAUGCCAACAGUAUCCGUCCGUGACGGUACCGUAAGAGAAAGCCACGGCUAACUACGUGCCAGCAGCCGCGGUAAAU